rnacentral:rRNA from 1 species
CACUAUGCCUAGCCAUAAACAUAGACAGUACACAUACCUAACUGUCCGCCCGGGGACUACGAGCAUCAGCUUAAAACCCAAAGGACUUGGCGGUGCUUUAAACCCCCCUAGAGGAGCCUGUUCUAGAACCGAUAAUCCCCGUUCAACCUCACCCUUCCUUGUUCUUUCCGCCUAUAUACCGCCGUCGUCAGUUUACCCUGUGAAGGUAAAACAGUAAGCACAAUCGGCACAGCCCAAAACGCCAGGUCGAGGUGUAGCGUAUGGAAGGGGAAGAAAUGGGCUACAUUCCUUAAUACUAAGGCAUACGAAUGAUAUGUUGAAACACAUAACUGAAGGAGGAUUUAGCAGUAAGCAGGAAGUAGAGUGUCCCGCUGAAAUCGGCUCUGAAGCGCGUACACACCGCCCGUCACUCUCCCCGAACUAAAGUUUAUUAUUUAACUAAAACCCUAUACCUGUAAAGGGGAGGCAAGUCGUAA